rnacentral:sRNA from 1 species
CAUAUUUGAUUCUUGGAAUAAUAAAUUUAAGAAAAUUACUGCGAAAGAGAAAAUCAAAUAAAUAUGAAAAAACACAAAGCCCUUUGUUAAGAAUACGUGAAGUCAAAUAUUUACAAGGACCUUGGAUGCACACGCACACAGAUAAGCAAACAUUCAUACCAUCACGUUUUUUUUUGGAAUUUCAAAAGGAAAUUUCUUUUGCGACCAAGAAAUCUAGCUGCCAUAAACAAAUAAAAAUGCAAAAAAAAGGAUAAUGGAUAAGAAUUCCUAUGGUAUUGGAGCCUUACCGAAUUAUGAACCGAUUCAGGCCAUACCUUGAUUGGUUUUUGGAAACCAUAGAAUGUGUCAUUGUGCAAAAAUGUCAUCCAAAUCGCGCCGUUUGGAGGUUGAAAAAGCAAAAUCUGGAGAUCGAUUUUGGUUUGGUGUGUAUGUUGUAAGUAAUAGAAGUCAUUGUUGAAAAUUUCGACCAAAUCGAAUGGCACCCCAAAUUACUCCCCAAAACUGAAAAUGAAAUGCAAUUAAUCCCCAAAACUGAGGAGUUGUUUCAUAAUGAAGUAACUCCCCAAAAAUUCAAAUGAAAUAAAUCGCCAGUAAAUGAAAUAUGUCCCCAAAUAGAGAAUUAAACAAAAAAAACCCACCAUUUUUUG